AACUCAAAAUCAAAAUAAAACAAUACUGGAGGGGAUGCAAAUAGUUUUUUCAGUAAAAUCAAAUAAUAAAUCUUAAUCCUGUUUCUUCAAUUUCAUCAGACACAGACAACUUCCCACAAACCAAUAUUGUCAGUUUCUAAGAGGCAAAGCAUUUUUUAAUUAUAGCAUUUGGGACACUUAGAAAAUGGGUCAACGGAAAAUAUUUUCUUGGUCAAAGGGAAAAUUAAGCCAUUUUGAAGGCAAUGACUUCCUCUUUUCAAAAGAUAAAGUUAUUUUCUGAAUUUUGAUAACCUUAUUAAAAUGUAAAAAUAUUUAUAUAUGCAUGAUAUAAACAUAUACCAUUAGUUUAAUACUGUAAUUAAACAAUGAAAAAUAUUUUCACUUGAAAACAAUUUUCAUGGAAAACAGUUUCCAUGUACAAGUUAUUUUCCGUAAAACAAAUAGAGCCUAAAGAUUUUAAUGAGACAUUGAGUCCAAAGUGAAAGAAAUUGCAACCAUCUUUCUUAUUUGCAGCCAGGUGGUGCCCAAGGACACGACAACAUGAAUGGCCAAUACCUAAGCAUAUCAGCCCUGGUUUAACAAGGUAGGUAUUACACCAGAUGAAAACUACAGUUUUUCCCUUUUCUAGUUGUUUCUUCUCUCUCAAAAGCCUCGUCCCUUAUCAGUGGAGGCAUUAUAUGUUUGGUUGCGUAAAUAAAAAACCUGGCCCUAAGCUUGGAACUAUUUAUAAACUAGAAUUAAAUUCAACUGCAAUUGAACUGAACAAGCUUCAUUUGCAUUCAGUCCAUCUUGAUUAAAUCUCAGGAUUCACUAGUAAGCAACAUUCAAAUUCACAAACAAGGUAGGAUCUGUCUACACCCAACAUGUUCAAAGUCCAGUAACAACCCAGCAUUUCUAACUCUUCCAACUUUAUCUCCCACAUUCAUUCAAGUGCAAAAUCCAGUGAAAAUAAUACGAGAAAAAAUCGUAAAUGAAAAAACUUUUCAUAUCUUCCCGACAACAUAGCCUAGUAAAGUUAAUUUCUACACCAAUGAAUCCACAAAUCAACUGAAUGGGUUUCUAUAUUUCAAAACAAAUACAAUUAUUGUUCAAGUUGGUACCAUAAUCCGAUCCAAACAAGCCUUCUUUUAUCAAUUUUAUCAUACCAGUUA
rnacentral:misc_RNA from 1 species